rnacentral:rRNA from 1 species
UAGAGUGGCGCACGGGUGAGUAACGCGUAGGUAACCUACUCAUAGCGGGGGAUAACCAGGAGAAAUUCUGGCUAAUACCGCAUACGUAGCACGACAUGGGAAAAGUGCUAGAAAGAAUGCCUCUCCUUGGAAGCAUUUACUAUGAGAUGGGCCUGCGUUGCAUUAGCUUGUUGGUGGGGUAAUGGCCUACCAAGGCAACGAUGCAUAGCUGGUCUGAGAGGAUGAUCAGCCACACUGGAACUGAGACACGGUCCAGACUCCUACGGGAGGCAGCAGUGGGGAAUAUUGCGCAAUGGGGGAAACCCUGACGCAGCAAUGCCGCGUGAGUGAGGAAGGCCUUCGGGUUGUAAAGCUCUGUCAGAUGGGAAGAACAGCAGUUGGUCCAAUAGGCCUUCUGUUUGACGGUACCUUCAAAGGAAGCACCGGCUAACUUCGUG